UACGUAGGGUGCGAGCGUUGUCCGGAAUUACUGGGCGUAAAGAGCUCGUAGGCGGUUUUGUCGCGUCUGCUGUGAAAACGCGAGGCUCAACCUCGCGCCUGCAGUGGGUACGGGCAGACUAGAGUGUGGUAGGGGAGAUUGGAAUUCCUGGUGUAGCGGUGGAAUGCGCAGAUAUCAGGAGGAACACCGAUGCGAAGGCAGAUCUCUGGGCCAUUACUGACGCUGAGGAGCGAAAAGCGUGGGGGAGCGAACAGG
rnacentral:rRNA from 1 species